CUGCACCUCCAACGGCAACAGCCCCCAGGCCCUCUCGUUCCUAGGCCCUUUACAUCUCACACAAGCCGUGCUGCUGAGCACCAGAGCAUCUGUGGUGCACUUUAUUUCCCGAAGCAGAGGAUAAUCUCUUCCUGGGACGGAGAAGAGCCUCCCACACGGCUCCGGCGGCUGCCGCUCGCCCCUCCCGGCCAGGCCGACUGGGACAGGACCGAGGCGGGCAGCCCGCGGGCUCAGCCGGUCGCGCAGCCCCCGAAAGCAGCUGCCCGCAGCCGCCUGCCCGCCGGGCGCUACUUCCUCGGCGGAAGGACACUCAACAGCACGCCCCUCGCCUUCCGUGCCGGCACUCACCGCCGAGCGCGAGAGCGUAUCCCUCCGCCCGGGCCCGCGGCCGUUCCCCCGCUCACCCGCAGACUUGUCCGCCGCCAUCUCUGCCGCCGCUGCCGUGCGAUCCGAGCGCUCCAAGCGGCACGAGGCUCUCCCCUGCUCCGCCGAGCACCGUCUGCUUCUCCACCGAGCGCCGCGCCGCCUUCGGGACUACUUUUCCGCCAGUCCCCUCCGCGCCGCUCCGUCCCUAUUCGCCCGCCGCUUCCGGGUUGCCGGCGCCCGCCGACGUGCGGCCGUUGCUGGGGACCGCGUCUGACGUCACGACGCCGCUGCGCUCCCCCCGGGAGGGGCGCCGUGCGCAUGCGCCUCGCCACCUCGCUGCGUCCUCUGACCCGCCAUGUUGUCGGCCUUACCCGGCGGGGGGGUGAGUCCGGGAUUGCCGGGACCUCUGUAGGUUCAGCAGCUGCGCGUUGUCCUGACCGCAGCCUGGAAGAGGGCCUCAGGAGCCCGGCUGCUGAGGGCAGUUGGCAUCGGCUCCAUUCUGAGGAUGUGAAUUUUCAUCAGUGGACUCUGUGCUGCCACCAUCACACUGCAGUUCCUGUGAGAUGUUGCCUUUAUGAUUUUGUCGUCUGUUAACAUAGGAAUACUUUCUUGUAUUGUUUCUCCAGGUGUGGUUCUCCAAGACUUCCCCUCCUUCUUCAUUUACUCCUGUUAAACAUCAAGUCACUUUUCUGCUCUUGACUGUAAGUGUAGAUAUACCCAAUUCUGAUCAGUAGAUUCCACCUUAUAUGAUCUUGACAUUGUUGCCAGCUGUCAACAUUUGUGAAGACAGACCAGGCAAUCUAAAGCAAACUGAACAUGUUAGAUGCCUGUUGCACAUUCAAUAAAGAUUUGAGGAUGAAAUUUAUCCUUGGGGAAGUGGACAACAGAACCAGUUUAGUGGAAGAAGGAUUUCCUACCAGAAUCACAGGAUCAUUAACACUGGGCAGAUGGCUAAGAUCACCUAGUCUGGCCGCCAGCACAUCCCCGCCAUGCCCACUGACCACGUCCCUCAGUGCCACAACUUGAGGCCAUUCCCUCUUAUCCCAUCAGUGUUACCUGGGAGAAGAGGCCGACCCCCACCUCACCACAGCCUCCUUUCAGGCAGCUGUAGAGAGCGACCAGGUCUCCCCUGAGCAUCCUCUUCUCCACACUGAACAAUCCCAGCUCCUUCAGCCGCUCCCAUAAGAUUUGUGCUCACAGCUCCGUUGCCCUUCUCUGGACACACUCCAGGGUCAUGGUGUCCUUCUUGCAGUGAGGGACCCAAAACUGUACACAGCACUCGAGGUGCAGCCUCACCAGUGCCAAGCACAGAGGGACGAUCACCUCCUUGCUCCUGCUGGCUACACUAUUUCUGACACAGGCAUCCAGCUACUCUGUUUUCCCUAAUGCUACUCUCUGACACAACGCAGAGGAAGGUUUGUAAGGAAAGGUGAUACUUUGUUUAACAAAGGGAUAGAGUUAGAAAGAAUUUAACAUGCAUACAACCUCACCUGAUCCGAAUGCCUUCAAAUCAUCAGAGUUUUUAUGAGCCAAGCUGUGUAAAAUGACACAUUUUUGAAAACACUAGUUGAAGAAUUUCAAGAGUACAGUGAUUUUCUUUUUGUAAUUCUGAAUAUUCUGACCUGUGCUUAAUGACAUCUAUUAAUCACAACUUCUACAGUUCCUCUUCAGUUUACCUGGAUUGUCAAGUUUUCUUUUGGACUUAUAUGCAUAAAUGUGAGAAAAUCUGACAAUCCUUAUACAUAAAUAUUUUAUUCCAAGCCUCUGAAUUUGUUGUAUUUCUUUCGUGAGAAAUGUCUGUGUUAGAGAACAUCUGCCAGUAAAGCUGUAACAGCAAGCCCUCCUAAUGUGUGUAUGUAUUUACUGGUGUUAUUAAUGAUUUAUGCUUGUAUGUUUGAUAAGCAAUAGAACCAAUAAAAGUAAAAGCGCUUUGCUUACCAGCAUAACUAUAUUCUGACUGACUUUUACCAAAGCAAUAAAGCUGCCCCAAAUCCACCCUGACACCAGGAAUGUCUGAUGUGGAGAGAGGCUCCUGCCUCUCUCAAAUUGGGUACAGUGUUUUUGCCAGUGCCAAAACAGCAACCUGGUAAUUACAGAGCACUCUGCACUGACACAGAGAGGCACCACUGUGAAUUUACUGCUCCCUGCUAUACUUUUGCUUUGACAGUCCUGUCAGAGCUAAUUCAACCUAAAGUAUGGCAGCACUGGUACCCAGCUUUGCAUCUCUUCUCCAUCAUGACAUCAGGAGGACAGUCAUGGUAGUUUGCUUCAUCCCUCAUGCUAUCAAUGUACUUGCAGGGCUUGUUUACCUGAGGGAUACUUACAACAAUCUUUUAUGUCUGUGUCAUGUCUGUGGCUUAUAUUUCCAAAAUGAAAAUGUUUAUCCCCUUUCUAAGGAAGUAAACAUUUUCUUGGCUAGUUUUUUUUUCCUUUCUUUUUUCCCUCCCC
ensembl:lncRNA